CCCUUAGAUGUUCUGGGUCGCACGCGCGCUACACUGAUACAUUCAACGAGUUUCUUCCUGGUCCGAGAGGAAUGGGUAACCUUUUGAAAGUGCAUCGUGAUAGGGAUAGACUAUUGCAAUUAUUGGUCUUCAACGAGGAAUUCCUAGUAGACGUAGUUCAUCAGACUGCAUCGAUUACGUCCCUGCCCUUUGUACACACCGCCCGUCGCUCCUACCGAUUGAAUGCUCAGGUGAGCCAUUCGGACUUUCAUCAUGCUGGUUUCCAGUUUUGAUGAAGGAAAGUCUUGCGAACCUUAUCAUUUAGAGGAAGGAGAAGUCGUAACA
rnacentral:rRNA from 1 species